rnacentral:rRNA from 1 species
AUCGUAACCUCUUUUGUACGGGAAGAAGGAAGUGACGGUACCGUACGAGGAAGCCCCGGCAAACUACGUGCCAGCAGCCGCGGUAACACGUAGGGGGCGAGCGUUGUCCGGAAUUACUGGGCGUAAAGGGCGCGCAGGCUGUUAUGCGAGUCUGCUGUGAAAGGCACCGGCUCAACCGGUGAGUUGCGGCGGAUACUGCAUAGCUGGAGUACUGGAGAGGGAAGUGUAAUUCCCGGUGUAGCGGUGAAAUGCGUAAAUAUCGGGAGGAACACCGGUGGCGAAGGCGGCUUUCUGGCCAGUUACUGACGCUCAUGCGCGAAAGCUGGGGUAGCGAAGCGGAUUAGAUACCCGGGUAGUCCCAGCCGUAAACGAUGAAUGCUAGGUGUGGAUGCCGCAGGGCAUCCGUGCCGCAACCAACGCGAUAAUCAUUCCGCCUGGGGAGUACGGUCGCAAGAUUGAAACUCAAAAGAGUUGACGGG